rnacentral:rRNA from 1 species
UACGUAGGGUGCAAGCGUUUGUCCGGAAUUAUUGGGCGUAAAGAGCUUGUAGGCGGUUUGUCGCGUCUGCUGUGAAAUUUCGGGGCUCAACCCCGAACUUGCAGUGGGUACGGGCAGACUAGAGUGUGGUAGGGGAGACUGGAAUUCCUGGUGUAGCGGUGAAAUGCGCAGAUAUCAGGAGGAACACCGGUGGCGAAGGCGGAUCUCUGGGCCUUACCUGACGCUCAGGCGCGAAAGCUAGGGGAGCGAACUGG